UACGAAGGGGCUAGCGUUGUUCGGAAUUACUGGGCGUAAAGCGCGCGCAGGCGGUUCUUCAAGUCAGUGGUGAAAGCCCGGAGCUCAACUCCGGAACUGCCAUUGAAACUGUAGAACUUGAGGAUGAGAGAGGUGAGUGGAAUUCCCAGUGUAGAGGUGGAAUUCGUAGAUAUUAGGAAGAACACCAGUGGCGAAGGCGGCUCACUGGUCCGGUACUGACGCUGAGGUGCGAAAGCGUGGGAGCAACA
rnacentral:rRNA from 1 species